UACGAAGGGGGCUAGCGUUGUUCGGAAUCACUGGGCGUAAAGCGCACGCAGGCGGAUUGAUAAGUCGGGGGUGAAAUCCCGGGGCUCAACCUCGGAAUUGCCUUCGAUACUGUCUGUCUUGAGUCCGGGAGAGGUGAGUGGAAUUCCUAGUGUAGAGGUGAAAUUCGUAGAUAUUAGGAAGAACACCAGUGGCGAAGGCGGCUCACUGGCCCGGUACUGACGCUCAUGUGCGAAAGCGUGGGAGCAAACAGG
rnacentral:rRNA from 1 species